UUAUAUAUAUAUUAAAGGUCGAAAAGUCAUGCAAUAGGUGCACAUUAGAUAAAUUUGUGGAUAUAUAUUUAAAAAAGGAGUGGAAAAUUCUAUCAAAGUGAGGACGAGAAGAACAAACUGUAUCUUUCGCUUCUGCAUUCUCCACUUCUGCUGUCUUUAUUCAGUUCUAUUUAGUUUUCCACACUUCGUUCAUGAAUUGCCAGGAUAAAAGCGUAUCACUAACUUGUACAUUUAUAAAGACUUACAGUGAAAUUUUGAACUCCAGAAAGACAAAUAACAGGUAAUUGUUUUGGAGGAACUAUAGCAUGGCUAUAGAGAUAUGUCUAAGACAUAACUAGCUUGUAAAAACAAAGACAACUUGUAUAAUUAAAGAUCAUUCCUAUGCUUUAAUGUCUUACUCCAUUUAUGUACAUUACUUAAUUAUUCAACUUAAACUGCAACUGUUUCUUGAAGCCUUGUAUUAUACACUGAAUAACAACUAUAUGCCACUAUGCAUAAUGAAUUUAAAAGGAAAAGUUAUUUAGUGAAAGGAAAACAGUCGUUUCCUUUUUCUAGUUUUGGAUGCCUUCUUGUGAUAUACCUUCGGUUGGAAAAAAAGAUCAAAUCUGAAGAAACAAGGCAGCAAACUAGCCUAAAAUUUCUCUUCAUUUCUGUGUGGUUGAGGGAACUUGUAAGCAGGGACAGGAAAGUAAGCUGCAAGGAAGUGAGGUGAUUCACAGCAGCCAUCUCAUGUAGCAGCUGGACGGUCAAAAAUGGCAGCUGGGUCCCCUGGCAUCCAACAAAUGCCCUGAUCCAUUAAAUCUUAUCUCUGUCAUGUAAUGGUAACGUAGCACUAGCAUAAAUUAAUGCACAGAAGGGGAUUCAGUCUCAAUGUAGUCCUGUUUUCUUUCGGAUAACAUACUUAUCUGGGCUUUCAGCGCAGCAGUACACAGAAAAAAAAAAUCUUUAAAAAGUCGGGAUACUUGCAAAAGGAAUUUAAAGAAGCACAGGAAAGAAGCUUGUUAUCUAAGGUUUACAAAAACCUGUAAGCUCUAAGAAUCAUAGAAUUGCUCAGGUUGGAAAAGACCUUCAAGAUCAUCAAGUCCAACUGCAACCUCACCCUACUACCCUAACUCUAACAACCCACUGCUAAAUCAUGUCCCCGAGCACCACAUCUAAAUGGUUUUUAAACUCAACCCACCUCCCUGGGGAGCCUGUUCCAGUGCUUAACAACCCUUUCUGUAAAGAAGUUUUUCCUCAUAUCCAACCUAAACAUCCCCUGGCGCAACUUGAGGCCAUCUCCCCUUGUCCUGUCACCUGUCACCAGUGAGAAGAGACCAGCCCUGCUCUCACUGCAAUCACCUUUCAGGUAUUUGAAGAGAGCAAUGAGGUCUCCCCUCAGCCUUCUCUUCCCCAGACUAAACAGCCCCAGUUCCUUUAGUCUCUCCUCAUAGGGCAUAUUCUCCAAGCCCAUCACAAGCCUUGUUGCUCUUCUUUGGACUUGCUCCAGCACCUCCAUGUCCCUUCUGUACUGAGGCACCCAAAACUGAACACAGCACUUGAGGUGGGGCCUCACCAGUGCUGAGUACAGGAGCAGGAUUACCUCCCUACUCCUGCUCGCCACACCAUUCCUGACACAAGCCAGGAUGCCAUUGGUCUUCUUGGCCACCUGGGCACACUGCUGGCUCAUAUUCAGCCGACUGUCCAUCAGCACACCAAGGUCCCUUUCUGUCAGGCAGCUUUCCAGCCACUCCUCCCCAAGCCUGUAGGGUUGCCUGGGGUUGUUGUGACCGAAGUGCAGAACUCGACGCUUGGCCCUAUUGAGACUCAUACAGUUUACCUUGGCCCAUCAAUGCAGACUAUCCAGGUCCCUUUGUAGUGCCUUUCUACCCUCCGGCAGCUCGACACUCCCUUCCAACAUGGUGUCGUCUGCAAACUUACAGAGGGUGCACUCAGUCCCCUCAUCAAGAUCAUUAAUAAAUAUGUUGAAUAGGAGUGGCCCCA
ensembl:lncRNA